AUAGUUGAAGUGUUUUUCAAGAAAUGUAAUCCUAUUGAGUGCUUACUGUUUCCCGAGCACCGUGAUGUUUUUGGCACCAGUGGAAGAGGAGGACUUUUGCCUUAGAAUUCAGACAGAUUGUUAGUGUAGGCUUGAAAACAAGUUUUAACAUCAUAACCCCGCCAAAAAUGUUAACACUGAUAUUCCUGCCAGUCAGGGCUCUAAAGGACAAAGCAGUGAGAGGGCAGGAAAACAAGCUAUGUUGCAGCAGUUUCUCUUUCCCCUGAGUGAGGCAGUGAUGUGGAAAUAUGUAGUCAUUUGGCCAGACCUCCCUGCCAGAGCAUUACGAGGAUGUCAGACUGUAGGAAGAUUCCAGUGGACUCGUGGAUUCAAUCAUGACCGGAAAUCUGUCCAGUCGGCAGCCCCGCACCCUCAUCCUUGCUCUACUCUCAGACUUCCUGACCUCUAGGGAUUUCCCUGAACCCUUCCCUUCUAGGUCCCCAAAUGACAGAAG